UACGUAGGGGGCAAGCGUUGUCCGGAAUCAUUGGGCGUAAAGAGCGCGUAGGCGGUCCGGUAAGUCCGCUGUGAAAGUCAAGGGCUCAACCCUUGAAUGCCGGUGGAUACUGUCGGGCUAGAGUGCGGAAGAGGCGAGUGGAAUUCCUGGUGUAGCGGUGAAAUGCGCAGAUAUCAGGAGGAACACCUAUUGCGAAGGCAGCUCGCUGGGACGUAACUGACGCUGAGACGCGAAAGCGUGGGGAGCAAACAGG
rnacentral:rRNA from 1 species